GGCGAGGGGCGGCGCGGCCCGGCAGGCUGGGCGAGCGCGGGGCGGUGGAAGGCCGCGUGCACUGAACAGGAAGUGCACGGCGCACGCCGCUCGCCCGCUCCCCGUGCCGCCCCCGGGUCGCCGCACGUUGUCGCCUGCCCGGCGGGCGGGGUCUCCCGGCCGCGGCGGCGCGGGACCGGCCUGGAGCUGAUUUGCGCAGCAUCUCGUCCCCCGGGGUCUGGCUCCUGGCCCGAGCCCCCUGCGACGCCGCCGCGCCCUGCCGGGCCACCCCGCAGCGGCGGAAGCCGGGGCUUGCGGCGGGACGCGCGCUGACCCGCACUUGCUUCCGGGAAAACCGCGGCCCCGGGCCCCUCCCCACCCGGCGUGCGGACCCGCAGGCGCCCGGAGAGCGGUCGGGGUUACCGGGGAGCGGGGUUCACACCCCACCCCACCCGCCUGACACCCGGCUUUUCUCGGGUGCGCCGAGGGGUGCGCAGUGGGGCGGCGGUAAGUGCGGACGCAGGAGCCGCAGCCCCGCGCCGCCCCAAACGCGGACUUGCUGGGACUGCGGAAAUCAACGGGGGCGGAAAUCGCGGGCGAGGCUUCCACGUGCCCCUGCGUUGCAGCCGUAGCACGGCCGGUAGCGGAGGGCCGGGGGCGUCCGUGGGGGCGUCCCCCUUCCGAGGGCCCCAGGAUGGCGCGACCUCGGCCCCCGGCCGCAAGAGGGGUGAAUGCUGGGUAGGGAGCCGCCUCCUUUCUGGCUCUAGGUUCUGAGGACGAAGUGACUCCCAAAGUCACUCCAGCGCCUUGAAUGCUGACGUCAGCUCCACCUCUCCCCGUAAUCAGAAAAUCAGGGUUACCCAGAGGAAGAAGGUGAGGACGCAGCCUCAACUCCUGUCCGGAUGCGGAUGCGGAGAUUCGCCGAGUGCCCCCUCCCCCCACUCAGAGGAGGAGGAAUUAGCCCGCUUCAGGGACCCCCUUAGGUGGCGCUUCCCACCCAGCCAGAAGCCCCGUGUUUCAGCCAUCUUUCCUAUUUUCCUUCCGAUCCACGUUCCAUCAUCUGGUCUAAAAUCCCCUGCAGUCUGGGGGGUUCCUUGGUUCAUGGGUUUUUUUCUUUUAAUCGUCCUUCUCUUUCUCCCCUGCUCUCCAGUCUAGAACGAAGCCAGACUGGAAAAUCCUAGAGCACGCCUUGCUUGACCGAAGGUUAAGCGUUCUGGAGCCCACUAGUCUGGGUUCAAAAAUCCGGUGGCCAUCCCGGCCCCACAGGGCCCUCUGGAAAGAGACAAAAAAGCGUGCCACCCCCACCCAAGCCACCCCCUUUAUCUUUGUUUCGGAUGGCUCUCCAUCCAAAAUGCCGGCCAACCGUAGGUCAUCCUGCUCACGCAACCCGAGAAGUACUUUGGAUGAAGAUAAAGUCCAGAUGCACAAAGUGGCUACUCGUCGGGCGACCAGAGAUCACAAAAUGCCCUGCCUCAUAUUCUUCCUCUGUUCCGCUUUCACGGAGAGCAAGCCCGCAAAAAAACAGCGUUGGAAUAGCCCGUUGGGAAGAUCUGCAUCUGUUCUCGCGAUGUUCCUAUUGCUCGAGAUAUUUUGGAACUCCUUCUAAACGUUUUUGAAAGUUGAGGGCCCCUUGCGAGCUGUGAAGAGCAGAAUUACUGAUGUCACCACGGAAUAUUUGUGCAAGUACCGAGCAAAACCGUCCGCACCGAAGAGGCACAUAAAAGAUCCCGUGAAAACGUUUGUUUGCCGACGGCAGGGUGAAAUUCCCACAUCAGCCUCUGUCCACAUCUCACCCGCCAGUCGGUGUGGCUCUGAUUGACCCUGGUUAAUGAAAACUGGGGUCAGUUUCAGGCUGAAUUGCUUGCGCCCCAGGGAUUGCCCAGUGCAUCUCUCUCUCCCUUUUUAAACAAAGAACCAGUAACUUCAGAGGCUCCCAUUUGCUGGCAUAUCUGUGUCAGUUCGGAUCCUUGGGGAGGUGGAUGCCAAGACAGAACUAGACAUGGAAGACGUUGAACGGGGGGCAAUGUCUGUGCAGGAUUGGGCGGGAGCGAGCAGGAGUGGGUGGGGAGAGCCUCCGACCACAGCCCAGGUCGGACACCUGGGGAAGGAGAGCGGAAGGGGAGGGGGGAGGAAGAGCCUCGGAUCAGCACAGUUCACACCCAGACCACGCGGUCUUGCCACACACAAGUCGCCCGUCAGAGGAAAGGCGGGGACAGCCCGCUAGAGGACCCCACGUGUUCUGUCGUUGCCUGGGGAUGGCUGCAGGGGCGUGGCCUCGGUGCAGGUACACUGGGGAAGCCUAGUCGGAGGCUCUGGGGCUGUCAGUCAAGGCCGUCCUCGGGAAGGACGGUCGGGUGCCACCUCCGUGACUACCGCAUCCCUCCUUGUGACACACAGAAGCACGUUUCUGUGCGCGUGUAGGGAGCGGCGCCCCUGUGGUUUCUGGGGCCUCCCCUCUCACCUUUGGGGAGACUUGGGAGAAGAAGGGUGGGAUUAACCGUGAGCCACCACUGCUGCCUCUGGUCUUGGGGCCACGUGGGUGCCCAUCCCGCCCCCUCCCCCACAGGA